GUUGGUUCUAAAGAAAUGUUUUCAGUUCAGUUUUAUGUUUUCUUUUGGUCUUCUCUUCGGCUUGCGCCGCUGCCCAUUUUUGGGUCGGGUUGCGCCACUGGCCUCCUGGAUAAUUUUUUGGGCUUGGGCUUACCGUAAUCUUUCGUCCGCUCACUAAAAUUUUUUUUCGUCGCUAAAAUGCCCGAGCGCAUCUAUAAAUACAUUUUAGUUAGUUUUUUUUCUUUAUAUUUCAUCUCAUAUUUUUUACAUCUACAUUUUGCUCUGAAACGAAAACUAUGACACCAACUGCAAUCUCAGCUUCUGCUCCGGGAUCACCUUCGCCCCCAAACUUGAAAUAACUAUAAACCUUUUGCUCUGGUGAAGGUCGCUGAAAAAUAUUGAAGACAGCCAUCAGCAAAUUUGGAGAAGAAGGUGAUCCCGAAGAAGGAGCUGAGAUCGCAGUUGGUGCCAUAAUUUUCGUUUCAGAGAAAAUGUAGAUGUAAAAAAUAUGAGAUGAAAUAGAAAGAAAAAAAACUAACUAAAAUGUAUUUAUAGAUGCGCUCGGGCAUUUCAGCGAUGAAAAAAAAUUUUAGCGAGCGGGCGAAAGAUUACAGUAAGCCUAAGCCCAAAAAAUUAUCCAGGAGGCCAGUGGCGCAACCUGACCCGAAAAGGGGCAGCGGCGCAAGCCGAAGAGAAGACCAAAAGAAAACAUAAAACUGAACUGAAAACAUGUCUUUAUUUCUUAUCUGGUGUGAUUCUGGAUUUCCCUCAUCUUCUGUCCUGGUUUUUUAAUCUCAGCCUUCAUUCUCUAAGACUGUUAACACAGUAACCCCUAGAUCGUUCUACAUCCCCAUAAACACAGUAACACCUUUUGCAAAUUUUUUCAUCCAUCUUCAUUCAUUAUUGUGUAGUAGGUUACAGCAUUCUGACCUAUAAAUUUCAGCAUUGCUUUAGGGGCAUGUAGGCUUUGAAAUUUGUUGCAUGUGGAAUCUGGAUCAUACCAAUUACACAGUCGUUAUCCUUCACAUGUGCUUGUCUACCUGUCUGGGCUCCAAUCUUUGCAGAGUAGGCUUUUAUUAAUUAAAAUGAGUAGUUACUAAGUAGUUUGGUUUCUUAUAGAUUUUGAUUAAAUAGUUGAUGCAAUUAUUAUAAAUUCUUAGAAGUAAAGAGGGCUUUCCUAUCAUUUGCUGAGAAAAAUGACUAAAAGGACCUUUUUCUGUAGAAAACUUUGUUGAAACUACACGAGCCACAUUUGCAGUUGUAAAUUGUUGUGUGGGGCUUGUGUUAAACUCUUGUCAUUCUCCAUUAGCCAUUUCACAAUGAAUGAUAUAUGUAGUGGAGGGAUCUUAAUAAGUUGAUUAUGGGAGAAGCUAAAUAAAGCAUUAUUGCAUUAAAUUUAAAUGGUUAAAGUGGGUCUGGGAUAUUCAUUAAUUUACUGUUGUGCAUAUGUCUAGUUACUUUUUUCCAUUUCCUAUGCUCUUUCGUGUUUAAAAAUUGACUUUAGCUUACAUUUUUCUUUAUUUCAUGUCAGCAACCCCCCUUCUUCCUACCAUGUGCAACUGAGAAUGAUUGGGCCUCUUACAGUCUAAAGUCUAAACAUGUGCCACCACUUUUUGUCCUCCCUCCUCUAUCCCCUCUUCGGACACCGCCUCCUCAGGAUCCACAAGGUUUUGAGGGAGGUAGUGUGACGAGGCUUCCAUUUGGUGCAAUAGAAAGGUAAUGUGAUCUUUUUGUGUUUUGCAGGUCCUAAUCCUCUUGCCUUAGCUGUUGCCCAUGGUGGUCUUGUUGGUUUUGCUGGCCCCAUUGACCCUGAUUUGGUGCAGGCCGAUGUCCCUGAUUUGGUUUGAUGCUGCUUGAACAUCAAAAUAGUUUUGGACGAUUUUGGUUGUACAAUGCUUUCAAAUAUGAGCCAUUUUAGGGUUUAGGGUUUAGGGUUUACACAAAAUACUACUGUUGGCAAGUAGUGAAUCAUUUUGAUUUCAUGUUUACUGAUCCUUUCUUAGUGUGUGUAUCUUUCGAAAUAGUUGAGAGUAUGAUUUGUGGUUAAAAUUAGUGUUAUGGGUUGUUCCAUGAGUUGUGACUUUUGGUAGCGAUUCCAUCUGCUGUCUAUGAAUCAAUUUGGUCUAUCUCUAUCUCACUGGUCAAAUAUUAUUUUUAUUUCA